rnacentral:lncRNA from 1 species
AUGGUGGUGAGGUUUGAGCCCCUUCGCGUUCUCAAAAAGAAAUCCCUUAUGUUCCUCAAGCAACAAUGAUUAGCUGACUGUGUCCAAUUGGUAACGAUUUAAAGAAUUUGUUAAAUAAAUUUUGCUCUUUGAAAUAUUUCUCAAAGUUUUCAUUGCUUAACUACAAAUAUUUUCCAAAAAUAAUUAAGUGGAAAAAAGUUUAAAUAAAAUUUUAAUAUAAAACAUUAGCUUGAAUCAAAAAAUAAUUAAUUUAUUAAGCUUAGGUAUAAAUUUCAAUCCAAUUCGAACCAAUUCAGCAUAACUCAAGACGGUUAAAUAAUUGAGUUUUUUUUUU